rnacentral:misc_RNA from 1 species
GAUGAAGAACGUAGCAAAAUGCGAUAAGUAAUGUGAAUUGCAGAAUUCAGUGAAUCAUCGAAUCUUUGAACGCACAUUGCGCCCGCUGGUAUUCCGGCGGGCAUGCCUGUUCGAGCGUCAUUUCAACCCUCAAGCCCCCGGGUUUGGUGUUGGGGAUCGGCUCUGCCCUUCUGGGCGGUGCCGCCCCCGAAAUACAUUGGCGGUCUCGCUGCAGCCUCCAUUGCGUAGUAGCUAACACCUCGCAACUGGAACGCGGCGCGGCCAUGCCGUAAAACCCCAACUUCUGAAUGUUGACCUCGGAUCAGGUAGGAAUACCCGCUGAACUUAAGCAUAUCAAUAAGCGGAGGA